GACGAACGCUGGCGGCGUGCUUAACACAUGCAAGUCGAACGGAAAGGCCCUGCUUUUGUGGGGUGCUCGAGUGGCGAACGGGUGAGUAACACGUGAGUAACCUGCCCUUGACUUUGGGAUAACUUCAGGAAACUGGGGCUAAUACCGGAUAGGAGCUCCUGCUGCAUGGUGGGGGUUGGAAAGUUUCGGCGGUUGGGGAUGGACUCGCGGCUUAUCAGCUUGUUGGCGGAGUAGUGGCUUACCAAGGCUUUGACGGGUAGCCGGCCUGAGAGGGUGACCGGCCACAUUGGGACUGAGAUACGGCCCAGACUCCUACGGGAGGCAGCAGUGGGGAAUAUUGCACAAUGGGCGGAAGCCUGAUGCAGCAACGCCGCGUGCGGGAUGACGGCCUUCGGGUUGUAAACCGCUUUCGCCUGUGACGAAGCGUGAGUGACGGUAAUGGGUAAAGAAGCACCGGCUAACUACGUG
rnacentral:rRNA from 1 species